rnacentral:lncRNA from 1 species
AUGUGUGCGUCUUACUGCCCAAGCCCUGCGCAGAAGAGGCUGGAAGGGCAGAGGUGGGCUUGGGAAGGGGACGCCCUUCUACGAGGGGCCCGUGCAGCCCGGUGCUCCCCUCAGGAGGGUCUGUCCCGACCGGCCCAGCUCCCGGGCUUCGUGCCCUUGGCUGUGGCGCGCCCGCUGUGCUCACGGCCCACAGGGCUGUGUCUUCAGAUCCUCCACCGCUGUGUGUCUUGUCUUUCCGAGCAGAGGCAGCCAAGGGUCUCUGAUUUUAAGGAUCCUGGGAUUAGGUUGGGUCCCCUUGGAUAA